GACCUUUGUGGCUGGGGGAGGGGCUGAGGAAGGUGGCCCCCACAUAGCCUCACCAAGGCCUGUAUUCUGAGGUCAUAAUUUAGUACUCAGAUCCCAAGGUAGGAGAGUAAAGGCCAAUGGCAGUGUCAGCAGCAGGAUUGUGAUGUUAUUGUGGAGAUGAGGCCACACUACCUUCAGAGCUCCUGGCCCUGGACGUCCUGUGACCAGGCAGGUCCACCACAGCAGAGGCCACCCGGAGGGAGGCCCAUGUCUAAAAAGGACACGGAGAUCCUCUCCUUAGGAUGGAGAGCAAGAAAGAGGCAGCAAGAAAGUGUUGGUCUCCUUGCUCUGGUUGGAGCUGGUUCUUCGUUGUCCCAAGAGAAGUCCAUCCUUCUUUGGAGUGGCUAAUUGACACAGCUCUAACCAAUGAGAUGGAAGUGAAAAUCUGUUGGAGAGUUUUUGAAAAGUUUGCUUUCAUCAUUAAAGAAGACAUACAUCUUUCCUUUUGUGGACACAGGCCUGAUUGUUGGCGCUUCAGCAACUAUCUGGGUCAGAACUAGAGGUGGUGGAGUGAACACCAUACCAGGCAAUGGAAGCAGCACUGGCCUAGACCAAGCUUGAGCAUGCACCACCGUCACCUGGAGGGCUUGUUCCAACGUGGAUGGCUGGACCCACCCCCAGAGUUUCGGAUUUAUUAGGUCUGUGCUGGGCCCUGAGAAUGUUUAUUUAAAACAAAUUUCUGGAUGCUACUGGUUCAGUUGCCACACUCAGACCUGCUGGCCUUGAGCUUGGAAGAUGUGGGUUUUAUUCCUGGAUUCCACAGUUUACUAUCUAUCACUUAGAGAAUGUAAAUUACUUACCUAAGUCUUGGUUUCUUAUUUGCAAACUAGCUGUUCUACCCAUUUUAUAAGACUUUUGUAAAGAUAAAAUAAAAGAAUACA
rnacentral:lncRNA from 1 species